rnacentral:hammerhead_ribozyme from 11 species
AAGGCGUCUGGGGUAGGGAUCGGCUACAUCAGCCCCACUGAUGAGUUUGGGGUCGGUCCCGAGACGAAACACUUC